GGGUGUGUAGCUCACACGGCAGAGUACUUGACUUGCACUCAAGAGGCAGGGGGAUCGAAGCCCUCCACAUCCA
rnacentral:tRNA from 2 species